rnacentral:rRNA from 1 species
AGUGAACGCUGGCGGUAGGCCUAACACAUGCAAGUCGAACGGCAGCACAGUAAGAGCUUGCUCUUACGGGUGGCGAGUGGCGGACGGGUGAGGAAUACAUCGGAAUCUACUUUUUCGUGGGGGAUAACGUAGGGAAACUUACGCUAAUACCACAUACGACCUACGGGUGAAAGCAGGGGAUCUUCGGACCUCGCGCGAUUGAAUGAGCCGAUGUCGGAUUAGCUAGUUGGCGGGGUAAAGGCCCACCAAGGCGACGAUCCGUAGCUGGUCUGAGAGGAUGAUCAGCCACACUGGAACUGAGACACGGUCCAGACUCCUACGGGAGGCAGCAGUGGGGAAUAUUGGACAAUGGGCGCAAGCCUGAUCCAGCCAUACCGCGUGGGUGAAGAAGGCCUUCGGGUUGUAAAGCCCUUUUGUUGGGAAAGAAAAGCAGCAGGUUAAUACCCCGCUGUUCUGACGGUACCCAAAGAAUAAGCACCGGCUAACUUCGUG